rnacentral:sRNA from 1 species
UUCUUUCUGUGAAUGAAAACGAAUCCGACUUUAUACAAAUGCCAAAUUGUAAAAGUCCACAUGAAUAUAAUAGACGAUGCCGAAACCGAACCCAAAUGAGAAAAACAAGACAAUCUUUGACAGAAAUUAAAGAGAAACACAGUAAUGCAGAGAAAAAGAUUUUGUCUCUAAGAAAAAGAUACAAAGAUGAUGUACAAUAUAGAAAUAAGAAACUGAAAACAGCUUCUGUUAGAUAUUUGGAGGAUGAAGAAUUCAAGGCUAAUGUUAAAAGUAAAAGCAAACAAAGGUAUAAUUUUGAUACUGACUACAAAACCAAAACAAAAGAAAGGAGCAGGAAACAGAGCAUGAAAAAGUAUGCAACCGACCCAGAACAUCGACAAAAAACAAAGAAAAGAGUAAUUGAUAAAUAUUCAACAGACCAAGAUCAUAACGAAGCUUUCAGAAAAAGAGGUAUUGAGAAGUAUGCAACAGAUAUCGAGCACAGAAAAGAUGUGAAAAAGAGAAGCAUUGAUAGAUAUAAAUUUGACGAAGAGUUUAGACAAA